AGUUUGAUCCUGGCUCAGGAUGAACGCUAGCGGCAGGCUUAAUACAUGCAAGUCGAACGGUUACAGCAAUGUGACGAGUGGCGCACGGGUGAGUAACGCGUACAUAACAUACCUUUAACUGGCGAAUAGCCUUGGGAAACUGAGAGUAAUACGCCAUAACAUUGUAGCUUGGCAUCAGGCAGCAAUUAAAGUUCCGGCGGUUAGAGAUUGAUGUGCGUUGGAUUAGAUAGUUGGUGAGGUAACGGCUCACCAAGUCAACGAUCCAUAGGGGGCGUGAGAGCGUGGUCCCCCACACGGGUACUGAGACACGGACCCGACUCCUACGGGAGGCAGCAGUAAGGAAUAUUGGUCAAUGGGGGCAACCCUGAACCAGCCAUGCCGCGUGCGGGAUGAAGGCGUUCUGCGUCGUAAACCGCUUUUAGAGGGGAAUAAAUCCCGAUACGUGUAUCGGACUGAAGGUACCCUCGGAAUAAGCACCGGCUAACUCCGUGCCAGCAGCCGCGGUAAUACNGGAGGGUGCAAGCGUUAUCCGGAAUCACUGGGUUUAAAGGGUGCGUAGGCGGUUUUGUAAGUCGGUAUUGAAAGUUUGCAGCUCAACUGUGAAAUUGGUAACGAUACUGCGAGACUUGAAUC
rnacentral:rRNA from 1 species